UCAGACUAGCUGGCGGUGUUUCCCAGAGACAUCACAAGUUUAUAGAUCAGUCGAAGCCAAGUGUCGGUGAUUCUCAAUCGGGGCGGUACUAACGCGGUCACAUCUCUGUGCCAAAAAGUUGGCGCGUACGCGCGCGGUGUUCGGUUGCAAAAAUAGAAGGGGUAAAAGCAUGGACAAGGACGAAAACUAGAAAGAAGAGAGAAAGAGAAGAAGGAGACAAGGAGGAACAAGGAUAGAGAAAUAUAUAGGAGCCAAGAGGGAGAGAAAGAGAGAGAGCCGAGGAAAAAUGGGUCGGCGCCGGACUUUAAUCAAUGAUUUCGGCGCCAACUGGACGACGGAACGCGUUUCUGCAAAAAAAAAAAAAAUGCACGGAUGGACAACGAACAUAAUAUGUAUCAAGUGUUAUAUUCAGUGAUUCGCUGCAAACAUGCAAAAAAAAAAAAGAAAAAAGUGUGAUGUGUGGUGUCAGCGAUGUCAUCGCGGUCAAAUCAAACUUCGUUUCGCCAAGCACGAAGAAAAAGUAUGGAUUGGCUGGACUGUAUUUCUGUUUACGGUUCCGAAAAUUCACGCGUAGAAACACACUCAAAAUCUCAAUGAUUGUAAGAGAUCGAAGCGAUAACGCAAGCGCGAAUUAUGUCAUCAGUUGCUGCUUUUAAUUCGACAUCAAUAUUACGCUAGAUGAUUCCUUGAAUGAGAUCUAUUUAUCAUUGAUUCUAAUUAGUUUUUUUACCGGAUGCGUGCAUUGUAUCAUAAAGAUAUGGAAAAUAUUUUGCAGGAAGUUAAUUAUUAGCAGAUAGAUUUAUGUAAUUACAUCAGAAGGUUAUUCAAAUGAUGGUUUGCAUUUUUAUUGAUUGAAUUCUCCAAGAUGCAUUUUUAUAUUAUAGUAUCUAAAAAGUCAAUUUAAAGACAAUUGAAUUAAAAUGAAUUAAAUAUUUUCAUAUCAUAAUAAUUUAUUUUUAAAAGAUUGGUACAGAUGUACUAAUAUACAAUUAUAAUAGAUUAAUAGCAAAUAGAUUAAUAGAUUUAUUACAAAAACGUAUAUAUACGUAUAAGAGAUACAUAUAUAAUGUUCAUUUUGCUAAAUCUAUUAGUUGAGAAGUUAUUAAUUGUUUUUUAAAUUGCUUGAAUGUAUUUGCAAAUAUAUUUAUGUUUAUGAUAUAAUGCACUAUAAUAUAUAAACAUGAAUUGAUUUGCUAUAUGUAUAUUUUAUUAAAUAAUGUUAAAAAAAAAUAGAAAAAUAUUUUAGACUGCAAAAAUACUUAUUUGUAAUAAAUAGUAUCCGUAGAUUAUAAUUUAGCAAAUUUUUAACUGUAACAAUUUUAAUCAAUAAAUUUAGGGCAAAAAUAUAUGAAUACUUUUUUGUAAAAAUUAAAAAAUUAUUCCAUUAGAUUAAGAUUUUUAAGAAAAAAAAAGAAAUCCAUUAAAAAAGAAAAGAUUGCAUUUUUCAGAUAUAUGAAACUAUAAUAAAAUUAUAUUCAGAUUAUGCUUUAUUAAAUAUAAUUUAAUUUUAAUUUAAAUUUAUUUUUAUUCUUAAUCUUAGAUAACAAUUCUAUAGGACACUCUAUAUAUAAACAUAUAUGAGAUACAUUUUAUAUAAAAUUUUUGUUAAGAUUCUAGCCAGUAUAAAUGCUCUAAAAGUUAAAAAAAAUAUAAGAAUGAAAUAUUUUAAAAACUAAAAGAAGAUGAAUUCUGAAGAAUGUAACUAUAUUAAAAUCAAUAUUAAAUAUAUUAUAUAUAUUAAAGUUGUUUAGAUUAUUUCAAUUAUUUCUUGAUGAAAGCAGUUUUAAUAAAAACUAUUAAUAGAAAUAAUAAGAAUACUAUAAAUCGAAUAAGCUAUAAAUAGAAGAAUAAAUAUAAGAAUACUAUAAAUAGUACUAUAAAUAAUAGUAAAUUAUGUUAUAUAAUUAAUAAAUUAUAUAUAAAAUAUAUUAUAAUUAUGAUGAUAUCUAUAUAAUUAUAAAUAAUUAUAGAUAUAUAUAAAAACUUGACAUUUUAAAAUAAAUCAUAUUCAAUUUGAUUUUAAAAUAAAUGUUUUUAAAUGUUUAUGAUAUUUGUUUACUCAUUUAUCAUAUUAUAGGUUAUUUUAACGCAAUAUAAUGUAUAUAUUUAGUGUAAACAUAAUAUUUAAUUUGUUUACGAUGGAAGUUGAUGAUCAUACAAUAAUAAAAAAUUACGCAUUAGCAUUAAUCUAUCACUCGAAGUGCAGUGUGCAAUGUAAAAAUUUUUCAAUCGUUUGUGGUUCUUUAACAAGGGUUAUUUGUAUUCUACCCAUUGCUUUCUACGUUAAUUCAUACAUUAAACAUAGCUUCGCGUAGACAUAAAUAUAAAGACAAAAUCAUUUAAUUUAAAUCUACAACCUCUUGACAACGUAAACGAAAAACAUCAUUGAGAAUACGUAAAUAUAUAUUAUAUUUUUGAUAUUCUUCUCAGCAAAGAUUUAUUUUAUUGUGAAAUUAAUAUAAAUAGAUGCUUAUUCAAGACUUUGGCGAAACGUUCAAGGUCGAUAUUUACGUUAUAACGCAAUAAUUCUACAAAGUUUCGCGAUUUAUUAUAAUUAACCUCAAAAAUGGUUAAAUAAAUCGGUGUCUUUUUACAUUUCAGUGUAAAAAUAACAAUACUAUAUGAUUUUAAUAACAGAAAUGUCAGUUUAAUAGAAAAAUUUCUUAAUAAUUUUUCGCAAUCACAUUUGCAGCAGCGCUUCUUUAACGACUUUAACUUCCUUAACUCUUUCAACACCACUCGACGCGUAAAAGCAACGCAGCACGCGCAUGCGCGCUCCAGUAGCGUACACUGCAAGCAUUUAAACGGUGGCACCAGCGCGUUCAAAUCUCGCCACGGAAGCACUCGAGUGUUCAUUAGACAAAGUUCAACGCGAAAGCGUUAAUGGCCAUCUUACUUUCGCUCUCGAGUUUCUCGUUCCCCUUAUUACUUUGUAGAACACCCCGUAUAACCUAAAUACGGUAUAUACACACAGGUAUGGUAUAUAUAAGCGAGCCUGUCGUCUACAGGCCGCCACGGCGGAAAGUGUACUC